rnacentral:rRNA from 1 species
CAGUAGCCGCGGGAAUACGGAGGGCGCGAGCGUUACCCGGAUUUACUGGGCGUAAAGGGCGUGUAGGCGGCCUGGGGCGUCCCAUGUGAAAGGCCACGGCUCAACCGUGGAGGAGCGUGGGAUACGCUCAGGCUAGAGGGUGGGAGAGGGUGGUGGAAUUCCCGGAGUAGCGGUGAAAUGCGCAGAUACCGGGAGGAACGCCGAUGGCGAAGGCAGCCACCUGGUCCACUUCUGACGCUGAGGCGCGAAAGCGUGGGGAGCAAACAGGAUUAGAUACCCCAGUAGUCCCUGUCUCUUAUAC